AAUGCAUUUUUUAAAAUGACUCAUAUAAUCAUGGGAAUAUGGCCCAUAAGUUUCUACCGGAUAACCAUUGCAACUAUCCGACUAUGAGUGAUCGCGUUUUACAU
rnacentral:ncRNA from 2 species